rnacentral:lncRNA from 1 species
GCUUCUCAUUGCCUUCGUCUCUAUCGGAUUCUAUACGGAAAACGCACCUAGUAAUUUUUGUAUGGUUCGAGAAAGUUGGGACAUUAGAGAAGAAUUUGUCAAACCUAACGAGAGAGAUUAAAAUACGGAAGCUCGUCCUCAACAUCUUAGUCAGUGAUAGUAGAGCUCGUCUUUCCAGAGCACUAAGGUGCAAUUUCAUCCAUGAUACAAUUUUUAUUUUAUUGAGUAUUUUCAAAGUUGAAUUUGAUUUUAUGUAUUUAUUUUUAUGUUUUCAAGUCUUAAAGCAACUCAGUGGCCAAUUUCCUAUUUUCUCUAGGGAUAGGUUUUAUAAAAUCUGAAGCUAUUUUUCGAGGGUUCAAUUAUUUUCCGUAGAAGAUCUCAACGUACUCUUGCAUAUUGUGAAAGUUAUAUAUGAGUGGUUUAAAUCAGUAAUUUAAAAAAUUCUGCUCAACUUAAUGCCUUAAUGAUAGAUUGUCACAUUGUAACUUCUUAAAUUUUUGUUAAUGGUAGCUCUAAAGCUGAAAUCUGGCUUAUAGCUUCCUUAAUUGUUUUAGAUCUUGCUUCAUUUAGAAUUAUUUAGCACUCUUUAAUUGUAUAUGGAUGUACUUUUUUCGAACAUUUGCUUUAAAAUGAUGAAAUUUGUAGCUUUACUCUCUGCUAAGUACUAUUCUUGUUUUCCAUAUUGUGGAAGUUGUACAAGAAUUGUCGUAUUAGUAAAUGCUAAAGUACUCUGCUAGAUGAUAGGCUAUAAUAUUGUAACUUCGUAAGUUUUCGUUAAUUAUGUAGAGUGACUUUGGUCUACUCUCUUUUCUAAUGAGAGUUAGAAUUUGGUGAGAUGGUAAUUGGAUAUGGAAGUAUGUUUAUCCGAAACUCUGUUUUACUUUUUUCUUUCAAAGUGCAUGUAUGCAAAAAGAUGUUCGCUGCAGUUAUUUCAUCAUCAAAAGUUUGAUCAACUGACUAUUGAUCAUCUAAUGAUAGCGCAGCGGUUUAUGCCUCUGGUAUGUGUAAUUUAAACUUAUAGAAACAAAAUAUAUCGUGAUGAAAUAAACUUAGUUUUUCUUUCCCCUCCUGUAUUUCAUCUAAUGGAAUUGUUUGAUUUGUUCCAUAGCAAGAUACACUAUGAGGUCCUUUGGUAUCAACCAUGACGUAAAACAAUGAGUCUUUGGUUCAGUCAUAUGAUAUUUUUUUUUAUUGAAGUUAUUACCAUAUUUCUUUUAGAUGAACCAGAAAAUUCCAUAGAGGAGAGAUCUUAUAGCUUAAUUAUGAUGGAGAUGCUGCCCCGAAGCGAGGAUGAGCAAAUUGAUCAUGUUUUACGAAUAGGUACUUUUAUUGUCUUCUCUUCAUGCUCGAUGCUAUUCAAUUACAUACCAAGAAUCCAAAUCCAUUGUUUCAUUUGUUUUGACCUUCUUGGAUUUUGCUAAUGCAGGAUACGACUUUCGUCAUCCAUACUUAACAGUAAUUCCAUCACAUAAGUGCUAAUUUUCUAAUGUGAAUAUACUUGUCUUCUUUUUGUUAUUUUGAAAGACAAUGUACCUUUAAUGUGUAUUAUGGCCAAAAAAGAAAGAAAUUUAUUUAGAUAAUCACAUAUAUUUUUACAGAAACUACAUGUUAUUGCUCUCUUCAUAUUAAAAUACUUAUAUUGAGAAAUACUAUAGUGACCCUCUCACCAAACGAGCAUAUAAAAAAGGCAGUUCAAAAGAAGGAAAUAAUCUAGAAAGCUGGUCUAAUCCAUUGGAGUUGGCAAUAGGAGAAACUGCUGAAAAGUUGAUCAAGUAUCUUAAAGAGGAAUUUCCCAUAGGUGCUUUUAAGUGUACUCAGGAGCAGAAAUCUAACAUCAGGUGGAAAGAAAGUUAAAACUGGAAAAGCAAACAAUAUUCUCCAAACAAGUGAUUUCUUUCGAGCUGAAAGUAAAUUUAGCUAUGAAAUUAGGAGAAUUUUGUCUAUGAAAAUAAUCCAGUCAAUUAUCUGUAUUAUUGAGUAACUUUAGCUAUGAAAAUAAGAGAACUCUAUUUUCAUUCUAAACAUAUAUUUUUUGAAGUUUAUAAAUGAUGGUAGAUGUCAUACAAUUAGUUAAAUAUUUUGUGGGAAGCAAUGUGCCACACUUACUGAAGAAGGACCAAGUAAGAUAGUGCCAGACUUGCCUAUUGAACAAAGUAAAUAUCACUUUGAUCUAGCAUGAGAAUAGAGGCAAUGAAUGUGUUAUCUAACCAAGCUGAAACAAGCUAAUAUAGCAACAAAACAUUUCCACUUUGUUUUUGGCAUUAACUCAUUGUUGUGCAUUUUUGUAAAGACGUGAAAAAAAUGCACAUAAUCAUGUAUGAACUUUAAGUGCAUUUACCGAGCAUAACAUUAAUGAAAAAGGAAGAAUAUUUUUAUAUAAGAAUGAAGAAGUUAAGGGCCUAAUUUACUUUGGAGCAUCAAAAAGUAGAACUGUAACUCUAGGAUAUUUUGUCUUUACCAAUUAAUUUGUGAUUUUUUUUUUUUUAGCCUGUCAACUUUUUUCCUAUUAGAUUAUGUUCUUUUGCGAACAUAUGAAUUUCAACUUAUUCCGUGUGUUUCCUCUUGAAAUUGAAUUUAUUAUGUGGUUUAUUCUUUUGAUGGUAUAUUUGUCAUCUACUUGUAAUUUUUUAGAUUUUGACAAUCCUCUCUCUAUCAAAAGAGUGAACAUGCUAUCUACUUAUCAUUCUUGAUUAUAUCUAUUUUACGGAGAUUAAUGUUCCAUUCUUUCUUUUACAGUUUCAGUCGAUUCGUUUGAAGAACAAAUCUAAGAGUCAUGAACUUGAAUCUAAUGGCAAUAGUGGUAAAAGUUCUCUGCUCUUAAAAUCAGCUGUGGUGUAUAGUAUUGAAGUCUAUUUCUUUAUUCUAUCUUAGUUAUAUAUAUUUUAUGAAGGUUUAUUUCGUCCACACAUAAUGAAUAAGCUGUUUUGAACAUAUUAUGCUGGUUUUAUAACUUCUAUCAUGGUGGAAGGCUACAAUUUGGGAGUUCUAAUCGUGUAUUUGCUAAUAUGACAAUAAUAUUCACAGCCAUCCUUAUAGGUUUUUCAUUGUGCUCAUUUUUAGUUUUGAGUGCUGGUGUGAUACUUAGAUUAUUUUCCCUUUGCACUUUCGAGAUUCACUUUUUUGCUAGAUUGGUUGUUGCAGUUGUUGAAGACUUUAGGAUGCAUAGUGGUAGACCUAAAGUAAUAAAUUCACAUCUCUUGUAAGUAACGAACUCAUUUUGGUCCGCUCUGAAAUAUUGGCUUAUCCCAAUUUAAAUUUCAACAUUAGCACAUCAUCAUACGGGGUGACAUAGGAUUGGGGUUACCUUGAAGAAGUAAUCAUUGUUUGUGCUAGAAAUUUACGAAUUAUUUGCUCUAUUUAAAGUGUUGGAUAUAACUGCAAGUUAUAAUUGCUUAUGUGUUUAAUUGCUUGCAUUAUGUAGAAAUUUGAAUUUUUUGUUAACAUACGAUGGUAUUGCAUGAAUUAUUCUUUUAGAACACUUCGACUUAACCCAUUUGAACAUUCUCUUGAUCUAAGCUAGGAUCGUGAAUCUUACGAAAUCUUGAGAAUUUAGAACUAGGGGUGGGCAUAGGGUGGGUUGGGUUGGAUCUUUACUCAACCUAAACCCAACCUAACAUGUUCAGUUUGAUAUAAAAUUAGGGACACCUUGCAAAAUAUCAUUAAAAUUAGGGAUCUUUGAAAAAUCAUAUGAAACAUUCUUUGAAAGUAAAAUAUACUGUGUGAUAUUAAAAAGUGACACAAUGUUAAUUUUUUUUUAUAAAAUUAUCACUCUGUAAUUAAAAAAAGUGACAUAAUGUCACUUUUGAAAGUUAAGGUAGAAAAAGAAGAUAAGAAGAACGGUGAGUUACAUAUGAUCCAAGCAAAUAAAUUUGGGUAGAGCUCAAGAAAGUAGUGAUUUGAGCAGUGACCUAAGUGAUGAAGGAGGUAAGAAAAGGACAAAGGAUGGGACAAGUCUAGUGGUUGAUGGUAUUACAGCUGUGGUAAGUUUGGAUACUUUCUUAGGGAAUAUCCCAAGAAGAAUGAUAAACAGAUGAGUAAGAUGAGGGGUGAGACGAAUGUAGCUAUAAGGUCGUGUGAUGACCAUAGUGAGGUUUAUUGAGAGUAAAUCUAGUUACUGUAUAUAUGCAUCUAUGUUUAAUCAUUUCUGCAUGUGUGUGAUUAUUUAAUUCUGUUUCAUAAUUAUAUGUUAGAUUUCAAUGUGUUUGAUAUGUGUAUUUGUAUGAACUUGAGAGAGGAAGUUGAUUACUUUGUGUAAUUGUUUGCAUGCAUAGUGGUUUGUGAUACAUUAGCAUUAAGUAUGUUGUAUAUCUAUUGGUGAGGUGGAGUAUAGAUGCCUAGGGGUACAUUGACAAUUUAUACCGGGGAUGUGGAGUAUGAUAUUUUGAUCACAAGUGGAGAGGUGAUUAAAUAUUGGAAUCCUUUAUCUUUGAAGACCAUGAUCAGGAGGAGUGUAACAGAUGCACUUCUAUAACUUCUGUUAGGUAGAGACCUAUUAUUCACUUAGGUUGGGAAAAGUGAUACGGUGAUAGAGGAAUAUCAUGAGGACUUAGAAUCUAUUGUGAUUUCCAAGUUAAACAUGAGUUGAGUGAUCUAUCUAGUUAGCAUAAUGGCUGAUGAAAGAAGAUAUGUGUUCUCGACGUGCGACCAACACAAAUGGAAUACGAUAAGUGUGGUGAGAUCCUUUCGUAGUGGUCAUUUAUGCAUUUGUUGCAUAUUUGUUGACCGUUUCAUUGAUUAGCUUGGUGUUAAUAUGUUGUUCAAUGUAAAUGUGUUUUGAAUGAGUUUUAUCAUAUGUUAUAUCUACAUCACAUGUUUAUUUGCUCUUGAUUGUUUUACUGGUAUUAUCUACUUCUACUUGAGUGUUCUUAACAUUAGUCUUAAUGAGUACAUGGAGCAGAUAUCGCAUGUGUUUCAGGUUCGAAACAUAAUGUAAGGUCUGAGAUCCCAAUUUUAUUGGUUACCUUGAUUAUAUAAGUAAUAACUUUGUACAUUGAUGGCUUGCAAGUUUAUUGGAUUUCAAGGCAAAAAUUUGUUGGAUUUUUAUACUCAAUAAAUCCCAAACAAUGAUAUUAAACAGUUUGGAUUACAUUUUAUAGGUAUCGGCCGAUGAGUGAAGUUAUUAUCAACACAUUAAUCAAUUGGCUCAGCCCGAAAAUAACUUGGAGGUCGUUGGAAGCUACUUAAUUAAGUUAAUGUUGUUUACGACCCAUUUACUUUUUGGAUGGCUCUUUUUUUAUGAUCCGGCCCCUUUCCCAUUUGUUGGUCCAUGAGCCUACUAUUACAGCCCACUUAAGCUACACCCUAAAUCUAUAUAUAACCUCAUUGUGACAGAAGUCGGAUGUGUGUGCAAUUGUGAAAAUAGAGGCAACCAACCCUUUUGUGCUUUCUCUCUUCGAGUUGGGAAACUGAAACCUAUCUUACUCUCUUCUUUGUUGCAUAUUCCAACCAUCCUAUUGUGUUCUUUAUGGAUACAUUAAGUUGAGCAACUGAAGUAAAACAUAGUUGUAGGUUGGAGCCAUUGGUUGAGUGUGUUUGGUAUUAGUAAGUUAAAAAUGAGCCCUGAAUCCAUCAAUCUAAGAUCAAUUCCAUUACAAAAGCUAAACUAAUAGCAAAAGGAUUUACUCAAAGAAAGAAAAUAAAUUUUAAUGAAGUAUUUUUACCUGUACCAAAUAUAAAUCCAUCGGAAUUUUACAUUCUUUGACUACUCAUGUUAAUUGAAAAUUGGAUCAACAUGAUACUACGAAAUUUAAAUGGUAAUUUAGAUUAAACUAUUUGUAUGAAUCAGCAUAGGGGUUUUGAAUUAAAAUUCAAAAUUCAAAAGGUUUAUUGUUAAAGAAAUCUUUACAUGGUUUGAAACAGGCUUCUAGGUAAUGGUACGAGAAAUUUAAUUCUUAUAUUCAAAUUUUGAAUUUUAUGAAAAGCAACUUUGUUUCAUAUCCUUUCUAUAAAGAUACAAGUAGUUAUGAAUCAGUUUAUUUGCUUUUAUAUGUUUAUAAUAUGUUGUUAAUAUGUCACGAUAAAAAAGAAACAGAUAACAUAAAAUCAAAGUUGAAAUUUGAAUUUGAAAUGAAAGAGUUAGGACAAAAAAGAAGAAUUAUAGGUAUGAAAUUUAAAAGGGAGAGAGAAAGAAUUUAUAUUCUUUAUAUGUUGUUAAUAUGUCACGAUAAAAAAGAAAUAGAUAAAAUAAAAUCAAAGUUGAAAUUUGAAUUUGAAAUGAAAGAGUUAGGACAAAAAAGAAGAAUUAUAGGUAUGAAAUUUAAAAGGGGGAGAGAGAAUUUAUAGUCUUUAUCUGAAUCAAUUUUCAUAUCUAACUAAAGUGUUAGAAAAAUUCUCUAUGUCUAAUGCUAAACCAGUUUCUCUACGUUCAGCUAAUCAUGUUAAACUUUUAAGUUAACAUUCACUUAAAAAUAGGAGUUUGGUAUGAUGAAUAAAAAUACCUUAUAAUGAAUAAGAGCUUGAUAUGAUGAGUAAAAAUACUUUAUGCAAAUACAGUUCGUUCUAUUAUAUAUGUAAUGAUCUGUAUCAGAUUUGAUAUAGCUCAAGACGAGCAUUUUAAGCAUGUUUAUGGCAAAUCCAAGCAAAACACAUUAGAUUGCUAUAUAAUAGAUGCUUAGAUAUUUUAAAAGUUCACUAGAUAUGUAUUAAAGUUUAAAAGAUGCGAUGGUUAUAUUAUUUUGAAGUUUUACUUAGAUUUUGACUUUGUAGACGAUCUUGAUUAAAAAAGAUCAACUUCUUAUAUUUUCAGUCUUUGUGAUGGGUGCGUUAGUUGAGAUUCCAACUUCAGAAGAUGAUAGCUUUAUCUUCAAGUGAGGCAAAAUAUAUAACAAUUUGUGAUGCUAUAGAGAACUGUUAAGGGAAAUUAGAUUUAUUGAGGAAAUUGUUAAUCAAAGUACAAACCACAUACAGAUAAUCAAAGUACAAUUUAUUAAAGUAAAAAAUCAUGUGCAUCAUUAUAGAACAAAGCUUGUCAAUAUUUAAAUUUUAGUUUAUUGGAGACGCAAUUUUUCACCUCAAAAAAAUCAAUUUUUUGACUGUAGGCCUUGUUCAGUAGUGAUUAUGAUAAUUUAUUUUUUGACUGUUGGAGAGAAGUGGGUCCCAAAAAAUUGAUUUUUUGAGGUGAAAAAUCAUAAUCAAACAUGCACUUAAUAUUUCUGAUCUUGGUAAUAAAUCUUCCCUUAAAAAAAUUUGAAAUUUUAACUAUUGCAAAAUAUUACAAAUAUGUAAUGUUUUGAAUAAAGUAAGCAAAUAGUUUGUAAGGUUUUAAACUGAAUCUUUCUUCUUGUUUUUUGACAUGUUAACAAGAACAAGUAAAACAGUUAUUAGAAAAUAUUGAUACUAGAAUUGAAUCAAUAGUUCAACAAGGCAAAAAUAGCUUAUGAGAUGUGCCUCACAUCUGAGCUAUACGCAUGACUCAAUGACAGCAAUUGGAUGAAGGGAUUUGCCUGUCUUUUAUAAAAGGCUCUAACUCUAAUAUACACACACAUUAGUGUGUGCGUAACUUCUAGGUUUUCUCUUGGGAUGUGUGUGCGUAACUUCUAGGUUUUCUCUUAGGAUCUGCUUGAUUUGAGGAAUUUUCCAUGGAAAAUGGAAAAUUUUCACAUUUUUCCUUGUUUGAUUGCAAGAAUUUUCUUAGCAAUCCAUUUUCCAUCCCUCAUCCUCCCACGUGACCCAUUUUUAUUUUAUUUUUUUGGUUUUAUGGAAAACCAAUUUCUAUGGGAUUGGUGGGAAAUCAGUUUUCCAGGCUUUUUUAAAAAUUUUUUUUUUGGUAAUGGAAAAAAAUUCUAUCCACAAUUGUAACAAAUUCUAUCCAUUUAAUUAACAAUUUUCAUAGAACACAAAGCCAAAUGAACACUAAAAGAUCCAAAAUUUUGACAUUUUCUUGGUAGAAAAUUAUACCAAUCAAAUAUAUUUAAUUGAGAAUUCACAAUAUAACAAGUUCUAGAUAAUUUAAUUCCCUGAAAUUCAUUUUCUUUCCACCCAAAUUCCUUUCUUACAAUCAAAUUAACCCUUAGUGGCUGUUCUCUUUACUGUUUUUGUGCCAUUUUCUGUUUUCAAUUUUUUCAUAGUGAAAACAUGUUCUCUUUCUCAAUUUCAAAAUGAAUUUUUGAAAGGAAAAAAAUUGUGCACAAAAUCAAAACGUCUUUUUAGACGUUUUGAGUGUUUUCAGGCAAAAACACAUAAAUAAUUGAAAACGCGAAAAACGCCUAAAUUCAACUUUUUUCAUUUCCCCCAAAACUCUUCCUCUGAACUAUCGAUCCUUUGAAGUAAAAUCUCAAUCUUUGCAUCCCAAGAACAACAUCAGUAGCAGCAGAGGUCUUCCUUCAAUUCUUCUUCACAAUUCCCGAUAGGCAAAUUAAGGGUUUCUCCAAAAAUGAGGUUUUUGUCCUUUUUAUGCUUUUAAUGUGAUUUUGCUCAAUGGGUUUAGCAUAUGAACCCUUUUUUUGUUUAUUUAGGUGUUAUCGCAUGUUAUUUGGGUAUAAUUAUUUUGUCUGGGAAUUUUAAAUUCUUAUUUUAAGUGUUAUUUUCGUCUUUUUCUAUUUAUUAUAUAACAAAAGGUAGUUUUUUUAAGCAAAUACCACUAGUUUGACUUAUUUUAUAACAUAAAAAAUGAGAAUACACAUAAAGGAUGGGGGCAUAGACCUGACCUCCAGUAAGUGAAAAAAAUUACAAAUAUCUUAAAUGAAAUGCAAAUGAUAAUAAAUGAAACCUGAACCAAAACUAAUGAAGAUUACUCAAGGGUGCUCUUGAAGAUAAAUCUUUGGAUGAUAGUACAUAGACAUUGACUAGGUCAUGCAUCUGUUCUGAAACAUUUUUGGGUCAUAAUAAUCUGUGUAAUCGGGCUCGCUUACUAGGGGGGUUUCUCCUGGGGAAAGGGACUUGUUAAGGUGAAAAUUGCUGUCCGAGCGAUGGCGUACUGAAUGUUUGGCAAAAAGCAGGUGAUGAUCUCAUGGUGAUCUUCACAGGUGCUACAAUAUCUAACGCAUGUGGGAGUGACUCGCUAACUGAAGGUACAUCUAUAUUAUUAUUCUUUCCGCAAUUUUCGAGACCCAUGCCAUUCAUGUCACUCUGAAUUUGAGCAUCCAACUUAUCCUGUCUAGGCGUGAUGGUAGGGCUAGGUGAUGAUUUGUCAUUGAAGAGCUUGCCAACUAGGUCAUCAAUCGCAUCUCUCAUGGAAGCUCCCAUUUUGAUGCCAUUGGUCUUCUUGAAGUGGUUGAUCAACAUUUGAUUCGCCUAAGGCUUAGCCUUCAAGCCCCUCAAUGUACCGCUGGUACCUGACAUCUGUGGUGAAUGAGAGACCUGGGAAUCGAUCUCAAUAGGAGCCUCUAGAGUAGGCUCAGCAAGUGGUUGAUCAAUAAGUGCUAUCUCUGUCGUAUCCUCAACCACAAAGGGAGCAACUGUCUGAUUUUGAAUAAGAAUCCUUGGGGUGCUCUCAUGGACGAUGGGAGGGAUCUCUGGUGUAGACUGUUUGACUAGGAGAACAAUUGGUGUUACCCCUGUAGUACUUGUGGUACGAAUUAGGGUAGGAUUUGUUGAUGCAGUAGUUGACUCUGCCACAACUGCAAUAGGGUUAGUGAAGCAUAUGAGGCACUACCGAAACUGGUACCCUCCGCCUCAUUGGCUGAAUGAAAGUAACAUUGCCUUUACCCUUCUCAACCCUAUUAGUGCCAGUCUCGGUAGAAAGGGGGCUGAACUAGUGGCGGCACAACAACUGGAGGAGAUGGUGGUACCUUCGAAGUACACUGAUCAGAUGGAUGGUCGAAGUGUUUACAAGAAAAAUAAAAUGUCAGUCCCCUCUCAUAUAGAUUGCCUGCUAAAAGUCGUGGUUACCACCUUGCUCAAUCCAUACUCUAUCGGGUAACUUAAGCCCCAGAUUCACUUCUAUACACAUCCUAGCCUCACUAGGUCGUCACAAAUCUGAGGUGGCCUCAUCGAUCCUCAAGGGCAUUCCUAUUGCCCUAGAUAAAGCAAGUUGGCACGCAAAUGUACCGAAAGCAAAGGAAAUGAAAUCCAAACGGGAACAAUCAGAGUCUCCUACUCUGGUCUGAAAUCACAAGUCCACUUAAGGACCCUCAUAGGACAUCUAUCAAUAUACUAAAGUGGCUUAAGGAAGAGCCUACUGUAGUAUUCCUAAUAAGUAAAAUGGAUCAGUAUAUGUGCAUUGUCAAUUAAUCCCUUCUCAAAGAAACCAUGAAAACUAAACAUAAAAAAGUUCUCGCGUACCUUCUAAAUGGUCGACUUUUGGUGGGAAAAUUUUCCUACAAGUGUGUACUUAUUGGGAUCGGCCAAAAGAACCUCCUUCUAAUCGGUUAACUCAAUUGUCGGCUUGCCCAAAUGAGUAAAUGGUUCCUUGGUAGUGAACCCAGCAUUCAAAGAGUCAUCGAUAGCUUGUAAAACUGAUGCAAAUGAUUUUCGUGAAUUUCUCUCAACCUGAGUCAACCCCGGACGACUAGAAACUACAGUGGCAUAGGUCAUCCGACCUUGGUUUAGUGCUGUUUGUGCCUCAUGUGGGAAAAUCGAUGAAAAAAAUGAACUCAAAUUAACUGGUUGAGCAUUUUGAACAAAAGUCGUCCAAGGGCUACCAGAUGAUCGCUGGCCGGCUGCUGUUGGCCUCGAAUUUUGGCCAAAAUUGGACUUGCUCAGAAAAUUAUGAAAUUUUCUAAGAUUGUGCAGAAUAUUGUGUUGAUCAAUGCGGUGCAGCACGUUUUCUGAAAUGAGCACUGUAGCAGCCGAAAUCACCAUUUUCCAACCGACUAGGCGUUCGGUAAUACCUCAAUUGCCAACUCGUCCCGAUUCAUUUCUAGUUGAUUUUUGGACUGAAGGUUCAUAAUUUUAUGGGUAAGAGAAUGGUCAGGCACGUCUAUAAGGUUGGGCAACAAAGUCGGACGAAUUGAAUUUUUAGAUUCUGGCUCCUCGAGCUCCGAUCUCUCAAUUCCGGCCAUGCCCAACAAACUUGAUACCAUAUCUAGGGUUUUUGGCCCUUCUGGAUUCAUUGGUGAUGGUCCCAUGACCUGAUUAGAAAGUAAAAAGUAAUAUUUUGGCCUUGUUGGAAAAUGUGCCAUGUUUAUUUUCCUCGAUUUCAUCAAUUUUUGGAUUUGAGUUUAUUGUUAGAUUGUUGGUAGGAUUGUUGGGUAGUGUUUGUUGUAGAUUGCCUCCACUAAUAGUUGGGCAAUCCGAUGGAUCUGGUGAUUUCUCCAUUAAAUCAGCAUUUUAGGGGAGGGAAAUUUGGGAUUUAAUAAAUUGAAAGUUUGUUUAUACUUAAUUUAAAUAAUAUAACAAAAGGUAGUUUAUGUAAAGGGGUUUUUUUUUUUUUUGUUCUUAAACUUGAUUUUCUUCCAUCAUUUUGCAAUACUUCUUUCAUUUUCUUAGUUUCAAACCAUAUUUUUCUUUUGUUUUCUUUUCAAAGUAAUAGCUUAAAUGGGCUUAAUGUGUUUAUUGGUUUUUUUGCCUAUUGAAUACGAUUCUUAGGUUUAUUCUGUACUAGGAUUGGAUGUAAUAUUAUGAAUUACAUGUAUUCUGAAUUACAUUAAGGAGAGGAGAAUAGGACACUGUCAAAUUUAACUUUUGUCCUGAAUUUGGUUAUUGUAGUUGUGAUCUCAUUCCUUUGAUGGAUAUAUUAAUUUGAGUGUUUCAAUUGCUAAUAAAAACUAAGAAACAGAUUUUAGGAACUCUGAAUUAGGAUUUUGUGAAAAUUUGAUUAACAGCUUUCUCCAUUAUCUUCCAUUGGUAGUUUAGCUUGACCUUAGUUGUGUUAAAUAUGUUUUAGCAAAGAAUUACAGCAAGAGGGCAUACAUGGUCAUACCUUGUUAUACCAAUAAGUUAAGGAAAAAUGGAAGUACACCUUAUUUUUGAAUGUGGAUAGAGGAAAAACUACAUUUGAAUUUGACCAUUUUUUGUCAAUAGUGUGAUUUCUUAAAGCGGAAGUAUUUUUCAAAUUUGAACUUCUUGUGGCUAGACAAAAUUUUCAUGUGAAUCGUACAUAUAGGGGCUAUAGUUGUAGUGAUUGGAUUUCAAGGAUAUGAUUUGCUACUCUAAGCCAUUUAGGAUGCUUAUUCUUGAUUUCUUUUCUGACUCAUCUCACUGCAUCCCCCUUUAUCGCUUUAGAUGAAGUGGAAGUAUCAGGUGUUGAUUUUUAGUUCAAAUAUUCAAAAGUAAAUCACGUGCAAAAUUCUAAUUUGACUUUCAAGGUGUCAUUAAAUGGAGCAUUACAUGAUUCAUUUGGUUUCUUUUAGCAAAUUUUUCCCAUCUUUCAAGCCAGAAAACUUACAAGGUGCCAUUAUGUGGUUUUAGUGAAAGCAUUAUGUUCUCUAAGUUCCAUUUCCAUAGCUUUAGAAUGCAAAUCACAUGCAAAAUAUGAGUUAAUUGUCUUUCAAUGUAUCAUGUAAGGAGUAGCCUAUGUAAGGUCUUAUUUAUUUCUUGAUAAUUUGAUGUAUAUUCAAUAUAGCUUCAACAUAAGUGAUCACAGAGUUAGGAAUAAGGAACCAAUAUCAUGGUUGGAUGAGAAUGAACAAGCUUUUAUUGAAAUUCUUUACUAGAAAGUGAAAUCAAAUGCAAAUGGCGAAUGGGGCAGGGUCAAUGAUGAUAGCUUCAAUAAAAAUAGAUUACAGCAUAGAUAGAUUAAAGGGAAAGUGAAACCGCUUACGUAAGAUUCAUUGUAUGCUCUUUGAACUUUUGGGACAUAUUGGUGUUACAUGGGAUCCAAAUACCAACAUUAAUGUUGCAGAGGAAGUUUGGCAACACUUUCAUACGAUACAUAUAUUUAUUAAAGAAUGUUUUCAUCAUUUGUUUUUAUCUUAUCAAUUUUACAAUUUUUUAUUAACACUAUGACAAUGUGUCUUCUUUUUAAAAUGAUAGAUUAACAAGUUCGAUUACAAUAUGUUCAAGAAGGAAGGAUGUAAGCACUACCACACUCUUGGGGAGAUAUUUAGCGAAACUACUACUUCUGGAGGAUUAGACAAUGCCUCCACUCAGCUUCCAAACACAUUAGAGGAAGCAAGGUAGUUAGAAGAUGAUUUUUUGAAUAGAAGAGUACAUAUACGUGCGAAAAAUGAUGAUGAAGUCGAUGAGGUUUCAAAUACACGUCGACAUGGAAAAAUUGGUACAUCGACUGAAUGCCGACGUAAGAAACCUAAAAUCAGUAAAAGUGAUAAAAUCGAGGCCUGCAUGGCACAGUGGUUAUCUACAGUUAGUUUGAAGAAUGAAGAAACUGAACUUAGAACACUUUACCUAAAAGAAAAGCUUGCAAAGAUCUAAGAAAAAUCAUAUAAUCAAUCGAAUAGUGAAAUUAAUAGUCCGAAUCCUUAUUCCAAUGUUAUAUGCUUGGACAUCUUAGAAAAUAUGGAAUGGGUGUCCAAUGAGGUUUAUAUGAGAACAUUAAAGGCUUUUAAGAAUACCGAUUUCAGAGUGUCAUUUGUGAAGACGCCAGAAGUAAGGAGAUGACCUAUCUUGUAACUACUUUCAUGUGACUGUUGUUUUAAUUUCUUUAGUAUCGUGUUGUCUUAAUUUGUGAUGUUGAAGGUUGAAGUACUUUGUUAAUUUCACAACUUGAAAUAUUUUUUUCCCUUUUGUGGCGAUGUUAUACUAUUUUCAUUUACGAACUUAGUGAUGUUAUUGGAUGGAGAACUGAUGUUAAUUUUUCUUUAGUUUCUGAAUGCUUGAUUGCUUAUUUUAUUCGAAAGAAUGAUGGUUGAUAUGAUUUAUGAUAAUUAUUGUGGUUAUAUUUUGUUUAUGUGAGUACCAAUGAUUCCAUUGAUAAAGUUUCGAGUGAUGAUGAUUUGUUAUUUAUGGAUGAUUUUGACAGGAAUUUUGGAGAUUUAAUGAUACUUAAUUACUUUGUUUCCAACAAAGAAAGUAUUAUUAGCAAGUGACCAUUUAGAACAUCAUUGCUUAUGGGAAAAAUGUACAUGCUAAAAAUUCUAAAUGGACAUCCAGACGUGUGCUAUUUUAAUUUUCGUAUGUAGAAACACGUUUUCAUGAAUUUUUGUGAUAUUUUGAAAGAGAAAUGAUUGCUGAAAGAUGGAAAAAAAAGUGAGCGUCGAAGAGGGCGUUGCUAUGUUUCUGUGUUUGUAGGUCACACUACACGAUACAGUGUUAUUGGUAAAAGAUUUGAGCAUUCCAAUAACACGAUACACAAAUGGUUUAAACGAGUUGCAAGGGAUAUUUGUUCAUUUGGCAUUGAGAUAAUCCUUCCGACAAAUCAAGACAUUGUGUAUGAACAGAUUUUACGCAAAUAUCCAUUCUUUAAGGAUUGUAUAAGGGCAAUAGAUGAAAUACAUGUUGCAUCUUGGGAACCUGGAUCGAGACAAACAUCUUUUCGUG